UUUGGUUAAUAUUUCACAAAAUUAAUACAAUUUGAUUUGAUUGGUUUUUUUAGUCUAAACCAAAUCGAACCGUGAACAUCCCUAAUUAAUUAGUUACU